rnacentral:rRNA from 1 species
CGGGGUGAGUAACGCGUGGGAAUCUACCUAGUAGCGGAGGAUAACUCGGGGAAACUCGAGCUAAUACUGCAUACGCCCUACGGGGGAAAGCGGGGGAUCUUCGGACCUCGCACUAUUAGAUGAGCCCGCGUGAGAUUAGCUUGUUGGUGAGGUAAGGGCUCACCAAGGCGACGAUCUCUAGCUGGUCUGAGAGGAUGAUCAGCCACACUGGGACUGAGACACGGCCCAG